rfam:Gossypium hirsutum cultivar TM-1 unplaced genomic scaffold scaffold2101.1, whole genome shotgun sequence
UGUGAAAAAAUUCGUUCGUUUUUAUUGUUAAAAUUUAGCGUGGUUGACGAAUUAACCAAACAGUUGCACGUGCCACAUGUAGCAUAUUCUGACAUACAAGAACCAGUUUUUAAUAGUAGAUUGGAUGAAAUUUUUAACA